rnacentral:lncRNA from 1 species
GCUGUUAGGUACCUGAAGUCUCUCAGGGUAGAAGUGCAGGAGAUGGGAGUUGGAAAUUUGACAAAAUAUGCUUGAAAAGUAUCCCCUACAGCAACAAAGAUUGUAGUUCACCAGAUCAGUUAUCCAUUGUCAGUUUCGUAAAGCCUUGAACUUUGAGUUGAUGUACCUGACAAAGUUUGGGAGCUCGUAGAUCCUCCUGAAGCCUCCCUCUCUCCGCCUCCCUCUCUCUCACUCUCUCCAAGUUUGUUACAAGAAGUUAUCUUGUAUCUGCAUGUCUGUUUGUAGUAAAAGUUCAAUAGUGCUAGGUUCCCGUGGACAUUCUGGCCUCAAUGGUCUUCUUUGUAGGUGAACAGAAUGAAUGGCAAAUGUCCCCCCGGGUAUUAUGUACUAUAGUUAAUUAGUAUUAGUCUUAAUCUGUUUCCAUUUGUGUACUAUCUCCAGUUUCUUACUUGGUUUGUAUUUAAUCUAUGUCGAACUCUAAAAAUAGUUGAGUAAUUGUGUUUUCUCUUUCCUUGCUUUAUGGCCUUACUUUUUAUAAACAGCUAUAUUUGACACAACACGCAUGCAAAAAUGACCCAGUCCAGGCUUUCUCAUAACGUUUCAAAAGCUUCUGUAUAGUGGCAAAUGAACUUGAGUAUGAGAAUGAGCUAUCAGCAGAGAGAGAGAGAGAGAGAGAGAGAAUAUACAUACAAUUUCCAUUCUAUGGAUUGAUUAUAUGGUGAAAUUGCAACCUUUUCAUUUGGAAUUUGAAACUAAACUCUUGGACGAGUUUGUUUUACUGUGCUUAAAACUCGCUUUCUAUGGG